rnacentral:tRNA from 13 species
UUAGUUCAGUCGGUAGAACGGUGGACUGUUAAUCCAUAUGUCGCAGGUUCGAGUCCCGCA